rnacentral:rRNA from 1 species
AGAAUUUGAUCUUGGUUCAGGAUGAACGCUAGCUACAGGCUUAACACAUGCAAGGUCGAGGGGCAGCAUGUCGUGUGCUUGCACACGAUGAUGGCGACCGGCGCACGGGUGAGUAACGCGUAUCCAACCUGCCCAUGACUCCGGGAUAGCCCGCUGAAAAGCGGAUUAACACCGGAUGGGGUCGAAAGAGGACAUCUGAUUUCGACCAAAGCUUCGGCGGUCAUGGAUGGGGAUGCGUCUGAUUAGCUUGUUGGCGGGGUAACGGCCCACCAAGGCUACGAUCAGUAGGGGUUCUGAGAGGAAGGUCCCCCACAUUGGAACUGAGACACGGUCCAAACUCCUACGGGAGGCAGCAGUGAGGAAUAUUGGUCAAUGGGCGGAAGCCUGAACCAGCCAAAGUAGCGUGCAGGAAGACGGCCCUACGGGUUGUAAACUGCUUUUUUGCGGGGAUAAAGUGCCCUACGCGUUAGGGUUUUGCAGGUACCGCACGAAUAAGGACCGGCUAAUUCCGUGCCAGCAGCAGC